rnacentral:rRNA from 1 species
AGAGUUUGAUCCUGGCUCAGGACGAACGCUGGCGGCGUGCUUAACACAUGCAAGUCGAACGAAAAGACGGAAAGAGCUUGCUCUUUUCAGAAUUGAGUGGCAAACGGGUGAGUAACACGUAAACAACCUGCCUUCAGGAUGGGGACAACAGACGGAAACGACUGCUAAUACCGAAUAAGUUCCAAGAGCCGCAUGGCCCAUGGAAGAAAAGGUGGCCUCUACCUGUAAGCUAUCGCCUGAAGAGGGGUUUGCGUCUGAUUAGCUGGUUGGAGGGGUAACGGCCCACCAAGGCGACGAUCAGUAGCCGGUCUGAGAGGAUGAACGGCCACACUGGAACUGAGACACGGUCCAGACUCCUACGGGAGGCAGCAGUGGGGAAUCUUCCGCAAUGGGCGAAAGCCUGACGGAGCAACGCCGCGUGAGUGAUGACGGCCUUCGGGUUGUAAAACUCUGUGAUCCGGGACGAAAAGGCAGAGUGCGAAGAACAAACUGCAUUGACGGUACCGGAAAAGCAAGCCACGGCUAACUACGUGCCAGCAGCCGCGGUAAUACGUAGGUGGCAAGCGUUGUCCGGAAUUAUUGGGCGUAAAGCGCGCGCAGGCGGCUUCCCAAGUCCCUCUUAAAAGUGCGGGGCUUAACCCCGUGAUGGGAAGGAAACUGGGAAGCUGGAGUAUCGGAGAGGAAAGUGGAAUUCCUAGUGUAGCGGUGAAAUGCGUAGAGAUUAGGAAGAACACCGGUGGCGAAGGCGACUUUCUGGACGAAAACUGACGCUGAGGCGCGAAAGCGUGGGGAGCAAACAGGAUUAGAUACCCUGGUAGUCCACGCCGUAAACGAUGGAUACUAGGUGUGGGGGGUCUGACCCCCUCCGUGCCGCAGUUAACACAAUAAGUAUCCCACCUGGGGAGUACGAUCGCAAGGUUGAAACUCAAAGGAAUUGACGGGGGCCCGCACAAGCGGUGGAGUAUGUGGUUUAAUUCGACGCAACGCGAAGAACCUUACCAGGUCUUGACAUUGAUCGCGAUCUGCAGAAAUGCGGAGUUCUUCUUCGGAAGACGAGAAAACAGGUGGUGCACGGCUGUCGUCAGCUCGUGUCGUGAGAUGUUGGGUUAAGUCCCGCAACGAGCGCAACC